rnacentral:rRNA from 1 species
GUCCCUAGUUACCAGCACGUUAUGGUGGGCGACUCUAAGGAGGACUGCCGGUGACUAAACCGGAGGAAGGUGGGGAUGACGUCAAGUCAUCAUGGCCCUUACGGCCUGGGCUACACACGUGCUACAAUGGUCGGUACAAAGGGUUGCCAAGCCGCGAGGUGGAGCUAAUCCCAAUAAAACCGAUCGUAGUCCGGAUCGCAGUCUGCAACUCGACUGCGUGAAGUCGGAAUCGCUAGUAAUCGGUGAAUCAGAAUGUCACGGUGAAUACGUUCCCGGGCCUU